GGCUUGUUAGCUCAGUUGGUAGAGCACUGCACUGGUAUCCCAGAGGUCAUGGGUUCAAAUCCCGUAUGAGUCU
rnacentral:tRNA from 1 species